ACUCAGACGUAGCAAGAUGAUCUCGCAGGCUCAGCUCAUCUGGCUGUUAGUCCUCUGGAUCCAGGACUCCAGCGGGGACAUUGUGAUGACCCAGACUCCAGAAUCCCUGGCAGUGUCUCCCGGAGACACAGUCACUAUCCGCUGCAAAGCCAGUUCAAGCCUCACCAGUGGUAGCACUCACUACUUAGCCUGGUACCAACAGAAAUCAGGACAAGCUCCAAAGCUCCUUAUCUAUCUUGCUUCUACCCUGCAAUCCGGGGUCCCGGCCCGGUUCAGCGGCAGUGGAUCCGGCACCGAUUACACACUCACAAUCAACAGAGUUGAAGCUGAAGAUGCUGCAGACUAUUAUUGUCAACAGCAUUAUGAUACCCCUCUCACAGUGAUACAGACCAGUACAAAAACCUCCCCACACUGUCUCUUUCAGUGUAACAGCUGCUUCCUAUACAUCAUGUAGCUGCUACAUGAGAUUUCGGACAGCAUUUUAAUCAGUCUUUCAACACCAGGCAACUACUCCCCUACUCCUACAGCUGACCUUUCUAUAAUACUGUUGUCUCUUUCCCAACACCGGUACUGACUCUUUGAUGAACAGUAGCAGAUGUCCUGCA